rnacentral:rRNA from 1 species
GAUCAUGGCUCAGAUUGAACGCUGGCGGCAUGCCUUACACAUGCAAGUCGAACGGUAACAGGGAGCUUGCUCCGCUGACGAGUGGCGAACGGGUGAGUAAAGUAUCGGAACGUGCCCAGUCGUGGGGGAUAACGUAGUGAAAAUUACGCUAAUACCGCAUACGAUCUAAGGAUGAAAGCGGGGGAUCGCAAGACCUCGCGCGAUUGGAGCGGCCGAUAUCAGAUUAGGUAGUUGGUGAGGUAAAGGCUCACCAAGCCAACGAUCUGUAGCUGGUCUGAGAGGACGACCGGCCACACUGGAACUGAGACACGGUCCAGACUCCUACGGGAGGCAGCAGUGGGGAAUAUUGCACGAUGGGCGAAAGCCUGAUGCAGCAACGCCGCGUGAGGGACGAAGGCCUUCGGGUUGUAAACCUCUUUUAGCAGGGAAGAAGCGAAAGUGACGGUACCUGCAGAAAAAGCACCGGCUAACUACGUG